GGCUGGCAGAGGUUAAGGCCUGACUUCUGCUCCCGGUCGACCUGGGUUCAAAUCCGCCUGCCGACCUCUCGGGUGUUUGAGAGGUGGUGAAAUGGGAGGUGGCCCCCCAUCUUGUGGACGGUGUAGGACGUGAUAAAAUCAACUUGCGAGCUGUCCAGGAACUAGGUUGAGGCGCCGUUGAUCCGCUAGAUUUGGUUGGAUGCUGGUGGUGAGUUGCCAAACUCAAAGAGUACACGCUGAAGUCGGAUGGGGUGAAUGGCUUAGGGUGCCCCUCUAGCAGGGGAGAGCAGGGAAUUGCCUCGGGAAGGAGGCCACUGGUGAAGCUUAACCACCCUGUAACAACAUCAACAACCCCACGCUCGUCCGUCUUAACGAACAUCGCCGAAUCAGACUUCGAAGGAUAAAGACCCAGCUUGGCGAACUCUGCUGAUAGCUUUACAUACCAUGGCAGGCGGCUGGCAGAAGUUAAGGCCUGACUUCUGCUCCCAGUCGAUCCAGUCGACCCGGGUUCAAAUCCGCCUGCCAGCUCCUCGGGUAUUUGAGGAGUGAUGAAAUGGGAGGUGGCCCCCCAUCAUAUGGACGGUGUAGGACGUGAUAAUAUCAACUUGCGAGCUGACCAGGAACUAAGUUGAUGCGCCGUUGAUCCGCUAGAUUUGGUUGGAUGCUGGUGGUGAGUUGCCGAACCCAACGAAUACAUUCUGAAGUCGGAUGGGGUGACGGAUUAGGGUGCCCCUCUAGCAGGGGAGAGCAGGGACUGCCCCGGGAAAGGGGGCCGCUGGCGAAGUUAACCACCCUGUAAUAACAUACAUACCAGCAACGGGGUGCCUGCUUCAAACCGUAAAUAGACCUCUCCAGCUUGCACGCAAGCGACCGGUCACUGGAUGCAUACCCAGGCGGUUGCUCCAUCCACAACUCCUCCUUCAACUCGCCAUUCAAAAAUGCAGUAGACACAUCGAGCUGGUGCACCGUCAUGUUCCGCGCUGCGGCAACUGCUAGUAAAGCACGUAAUGACGAACACGUGAGGUAGGGGCAAACAACUCCAGGCCUGGCUUCUGCUCCCGACGUGUUCCGGCGCGUCCGGGUUCAAAUCCGCCUGCCGACCUCUCGGGGUGUUUGAGAGGUGAUGAAAUGGGAGGUGGCUCCCCAUCUUAUGGACGGUGUAGGACGUGAUAAAAUCAACUCGCGAGCUGACCAGGAACUAAGUUGACGCGCCGUUGAUCCGCUAGAUCUGGUUGGAUGCUGGUGGUGAGUUGCCAAACUCAAAGAGUACACGCUGAAGUCGGAUGGGGUGAAUGGCUUAGGGUGCCCCUCUAGCAGGGGAGAGCAGGGAAUUGCCUCGGGAAGGAGGCCACUGGUGAAGCUUAACCACCCUGUAACAACAUCAACAACCCCACGCUCGUCCGUCUUAACGAACAUCGCCGAAUCAGACUUCGAAGGAUAAAGACCCAGCUUGGCGAACUCUGCUGAUAGCUUUACAUACCAUGGCAGGCGGCUGGCAGAAGUUAAGGCCUGACUUCUGCUCCCAGUCGAUCCAGUCGACCCGGGUUCAAAUCCGCCUGCCAGCUCCUCGGGUAUUUGAGGAGUGAUGAAAUGGGAGGUGGCCCCCCAUCAUAUGGACGGUGUAGGACGUGAUAAUAUCAACUUGCGAGCUGACCAGGAACUAAGUUGAUGCGCCGUUGAUCCGCUAGAUUUGGUUGGAUGCUGGUGGUGAGUUGCCGAACCCAACGAAUACAUUCUGAAGUCGGAUGGGGUGACGGAUUAGGGUGCCCCUCUAGCAGGGGAGAGCAGGGACUGCCCCGGGAAAGGGGGCCGCUGGCGAAGUUAACCACCCUGUAAUAACAUACAUACCAGCAACGGGGUGCCUGCUUCAAACCGUAAAUAGACCUCUCCAGCUUGCACGCAAGCGACCGGUCACUGGAUGCAUACCCAGGCGGUUGCUCCAUCCACAACUCCUCCUUCAACUCGCCAUUCAAAAAUGCAGUAGACACAUCGAGCUGGUGCACCGUCAUGUUCCGCGCUGCGGCAACUGCUAGUAAAGCACGUAAUGACGAACACGUGAGGUAGGGGCAAACAACUCCAGGCCUGGCUUCUGCUCCCGACGUGUUCCGGCGCGUCCGGGUUCAAAUCCGCCUGCCGACCUCUCGGGGUGUUUGAGAGGUGAUGAAAUGGGAGGUGGCUCCCCAUCUUAUGGACGGUGUAGGACGUGAUAAAAUCAACUCGCGAGCUGACCAGGAACUAAGUUGACGCGCCGUUGAUCCGCUAGAUCUGGUUGGAUGCUGGUGGUGAGUUGCCAAACUCAAAGAGUACACGCUGAAGUCGGAUGGGGUGAAUGGCUUAGGGUGCCCCUCUAGCAGGGGAGAGCAGGGAAUUGCCUCGGGAAGGAGNNNNNNNNNNNNNNNNNNNNNNNNNNNNNNNNNNNNNNNNNNNNNNNNNNUUCAGACUUAUCUUGCUGUUUUUGUGUUUGUUCGGCGUUCAAGUCGUUGCCUUUUGCGUGUUUGUCUAUGGAAGGACCGGUCAUACAUUCUGCUAUGCCGCGUUGACUCACGGGCUUGACCUUCUUACGGCCCCUCAUAUCUAUUUUAUGAUCGAUAAUACUAAGUUCUGCACACUACGGAGCAAUCUGGCAGCAAUGGACGUUUUUGGCUGAAGGAAUGAAAAUGUACGGAUCGGCCUCACUUUGUUCCUUAUUUCCAAAGGCCAAAAAGGCCUCUUUAUUCCUUAAAAGUAAUAUAUUACUUAAAAAAAAAACACUGCCGUUGGGUCCUAUUACUGUGGCUACCAUUCACUGGUAUAUGAGUGUCGGUCAUUUCCAACACCCCCCCGUGAGCGACACUCCAUCGCUACGGGCCGUCCCGUGCCUCAUCCCGGUCUCCCAUUCUCUAGGCAACAGCCAGUGGGUAUCGAUCCGGCGACCUCUCGGCAGCGCAAUGCGCCAUUCGGGGCUCAUUUCUUAUUGACGAAUUGGCGACGGAGACAGCUAACGCUGAUUGUUAUUCCGGAAGGAUUGCCGGUGGCGAAGAUAUUUUGCACAAUAAAAUAUUACAAGUAAUGUAAAGAGUAUUAUUAGCGUUCGGCAGGACUUGAGGAGAUUCCUAUGAGGAAUACCGAUCGUAGUGAGAUAAACAAAUAAGCGCAGUCACCGCCCUAAAUACCGGCGCUAGCGGAAAACUCGUACAUUCCGCGAUCUAACUGCACGUACAUUCCGCGAUCUCACUGCGCCGUCCUGACGGUGCCCAAAUGUCUAUCACUUAGCUACAGUAUAUGCAUCGGUAGCCCAUAAGGUUCUGGGUUAAGUCUUCCCCAUUAGUCAGGCGCAGUCUCAGGGUCAAGACCCCUGGUUGACAACCAUACGAGUUGGGAGAGGACCGUUUCCUCAACAAAGGUCACGCACCUUGAAGACUUUCGCUAUUGCGGCUUUAAUUGCCCGGACCAUUUCCGGGUCUUCUGACGCAAUAAUGGUGUCAUCUACGUGCACCAAAGCAAUAACAGGCAGGCGGCUGGCAGAGGUUAAGGCCUGACUUCUGCUCCCGGUCGACCUGGGUUCAAAUCCGCCUGCCGACCUCUCGGGUGUUUGAGAGGUGGUGAAAUGGGAGGUGGCCCCCCAUCUUGUGGACGGUGUAGGACGUGAUAAAAUCAACUUGCGAGCUGUCCAGGAACUAGGUUGAGGCGCCGUUGAUCCGCUAGAUUUGGUUGGAUGCUGGUGGUGAGUUGCCAAACUCAAAGAGUACACGCUGAAGUCGGAUGGGGUGAAUGGCUUAGGGUGCCCCUCUAGCAGGGGAGAGCAGGGAAUUGCCUCGGGAAGGAGGCCACUGGUGAAGCUUAACCACCCUGUAACAACAUCAACAACCCCACGCUCGUCCGUCUUAACGAACAUCGCCGAAUCAGACUUCGAAGGAUAAAGACCCAGCUUGGCGAACUCUGCUGAUAGCUUUACAUACCAUGGCAGGCGGCUGGCAGAAGUUAAGGCCUGACUUCUGCUCCCAGUCGAUCCAGUCGACCCGGGUUCAAAUCCGCCUGCCAGCUCCUCGGGUAUUUG
rnacentral:lncRNA from 1 species